rnacentral:rRNA from 1 species
UCGCCUGUUUAUCAAAAACAUAGCUAGAUGUAAUUAUAUUAGUGCUUCCUGCUCAAUGAUAAUUAAUAGCCGCAGUACCUUGACUGUGCAAAGGUAGCAUAAUCAAUUGGCUUAUAAUUGAAGUCUAGAAUGAAAGGAUAUACGAGUAGUUACUGUACUGUAUUUAUUGAAAUUAAUUUUAAGUGCAAAUACUUGUAAAUAAUUGUUAGACGAGAAGACCCUAGAAAUUUAUGUUUCGUUGGGGCAACGUAGUAGGAACUACAUAAACAAGAAAAGAUUAAAAAUUACUCUAGGGAUAACAGCAUAAUUUAUAAAAGUUUGUGACCUCGAUGUUGGAUUUGGGAGCUAUAGU